rnacentral:rRNA from 1 species
AUACGUAGGGAGCGAGCGUUGUCCGGAAUUACUGGGUGUAAAGGGAGCGUAGGCGGGAGUGCAAGUCAGAUGUGAAAUACAUGGGCUCAACCCAUGGGCUGCAUUUGAAACUGCAUUUCUUGAGUGAAGUAGAGGUAAGCGGAAUUCCUGGUGUAGCGGUGAAAUGCGUAGAUAUCAGGAGGGACACCGGUGGCGGAGGCGGCUUACUGUUCUUUAACUGACGCUGAGGCUCGAAAGCGUGGUGAGCAAACAUGAUUAGAUACCCUGGUAGUCCACUCAGUAAACGAUGAUUACUAGGUGUUGUGGGACUGACCCCUUCCGUGCCGCAGUUAACACAAUAAGGAAUCCACCUGGGGACUACGGCCGCAAGGUUGGAGCUCAAAGGAAUUGACGGGG